rnacentral:misc_RNA from 1 species
UCAAUGGUUUCUUGUUUGCAUGUACAAUGAACAAUGGAAGAAAUUUCUCACUCACCCGAUAAGCACACAGAAGUCACUUCUACCUUGUGCUCUUUCAUAGCUGCCACAAUGUUUUUCAUUCCUUCUGAUAGCACGGUAGUGGCCUCUUUAUUUCUUGUACCCAAGAUCACAACAACACCAUCCUGACCAGAUACUGCUUUUGAAACAUCUUCUUGGUUGGUUACAUCUCCCACAACUAUUUGUACCGCAUCCUUGAUCUUUGAAGGAACUUUGGAUAUGUCUCUCACAAAUGCUGUCACCUUUAGACCUGAAUAGAUGGAAAUAGUUAUGAGACGAUCAGAAAAUACUUUGCUAUAUGCUUUAUAACACUCUGUUGCAAAUAAUUGAUUAGAAUGCUAACGAGCCAAUGAGACAUUGAUUAGAGUGGAAAAAUUCUAGUCUACAAUUUAUGUAUAUGAGUUCACAAACUGAAGAAAUUAUAAAAAUUGAGGUGAUAUUUUCUUGAAAACGGUCGUGAUUUUGUGUAAUUGGUAAAUAAACAACUUGCAUAUCCCGGCUACUGC